GAUUCUCAUGCCUAAGGCUCCAAAGUCCCAGGUUCAAUCUCCCACACCACAAAAAGCCAGAGUUGAGCAGUGCUCUGGUAAAAUAGAUAAAUAAAUACAAACCACAAUAAUGAUAAAACAACAAGGGCAACAAAAGGGGAAAAAAAUAGCCUCCAGCAGCAGUGGAUUCGUGGUGCAGGCACAGAGCCCCAGCACCCCAGCAAUAACCCUGGAGGCAAAAAAAAAAAAAAAGUAAAAGAAAGAAAGACAAAAAAAAAAAAAUCCUGCAUUUUCUUAUUGAGAUAAAAUUCAAAAAAAAAGAAAGAAACUAAGCAAAAGGAAGCAGAUGUCCACAAGUUACAUAUGAAUUUACUCACAAAAAUUACCCCAUUGUUCUAUAACAAUAAGUCCUAUAACAAUAAGUAAUUAUAACCACCCAUAGGCAUGUACUGUCCUCAAAAGACAUUCCACAAACAAAUUCUUAAAGGAGCAGAGUAAAACUAGUCAAGUUUCUAGAUCAUCUAGUUACAUCAAAACAAUUUCAUUCUCUCUCACUCGCCUCAUACUUCAGUCCCAGAAAGAAGUCUGAGCUAUAGCUCAUCAGAAUCAGCUGGAGGGCUUCUAAAAGCACAGUUUUCUGGACGGCAUUCCAGAGAUCUGAUUCAGACAAAGAAAAACUGAAGAGGAGAGGGAGACAUACAGAAGAGAGACAGAAAGACACCUGCAGAUCUGCUUCAAUGCUCAGGAAGCACUCCCCCCUGCAGACACCAAGUUGCAAAUGCUACCACUACACCAACCUGACUCCCCCAGGCAGAUGACCUCACCAAUGUACCCUGGGACCGCAUCUCUCCAGAACCCAGCCCCACUAGGGAAAGACAGAAACAGUCUAGGAGUGUGGACUGACCUGCCAACACCCAUGUCCACUGGAGAAGCCAGACCUUCCACCUUCUACACCCCAUAAUGAUCCUGGGUCCAACUCCCAGAGGGAUAAAGAAAGGAAAGCUUCCAGUGGAGGGGAUGGGAUAUGGAACUCUGGUGGUGGGAAACGUGUGGAAUUUUACCCCUCCUAUCCUAUGGUUUGGUUUAUAUUUUUUAUUUUAUAAACAAAUUUUUAAAAUACCACUUGAAGGGCUGGGCAGUGGCGUACCCAGUUGAGCACACACAUCACCAUGUACAAGGACUGGGAUUCAAGCCCGUGGUCCCCACCUGAAUAAGGGAAAUUUCAUUAGCAGCAAAGUAGGUCUGCAGGCAUCUUUUUCUC